UUGCGUUAAUUGGCCCGAACGGCUGCGGUAAAACCACGCUACUGAAACUGAUGCUGGGACAGCUUCAGGCUGACAGCGGGCGCAUCCACGUAGGAACGAAGCUGGAAGUCGCCUACUUCGAUCAGCACCGACACAGGUGGUCAGGUAGAGAAUACCAAGGCGCUUGAGAGAACUCGGGUGAAGGAACUAGGCAAAAUGGUGCCGUAACUUCGGGAGAAGGCACGCUGACAUGUAGGUGAAGUGAUUUACUCAU
rnacentral:rRNA from 1 species